CCCAGGCCGGGAAAGGGUGUCACCAAUACCUGUGAGGUCUGUGAGCGCAGCCUCCUUGAUUCCUUCCGCUUCUGCUCUCUCGGCUGCAAGAUUGUUGGGACAUCCAAGAACUUCGUGAAGAA